rnacentral:rRNA from 1 species
CUGCAGUUAACGCAAUAAGUAUUCCGCCUGGGGAGUACGCACGCAAGUGUGAAACUCAAAGGAAUUGACGGGACCCCGCACAAGCGGUGGAUUAUGUUGUUUAAUUCGACGCAACGCGAAGAACCUUACCAGGCCUUGACAUACCCAGCAAAGCUAUAGAGAUAUAGUGGAGGUUAUCUGGGAUACAGGUGGUGCAUGGUUGUCGUCAGCUCGUGUCGUGAGAUGUUGGGUUAAGUCCCGCAACGAGCGCAACCCUUGUCUUUAGUUACCAUCAUUAAGUUGGGGACUCUAGAGAGACUGCCGGUGAUAAACCGGAGGAAGGUGGGGAUGACGUCAAAUCAUCAUGCCCCUUAUGGCCUGGGCUACAAACGUAAUACAAUGGCGUAUACAAAGGGAUGCGAAGUGGUGACAUGGAGCAAAACUCAUAAAGUACGUCUCAGUUCGGAUUGAAGUCUGCAACUCGACUUCAUGAAGCUGGAAUCGCUAGUAAUCGCGGAUCAGCAUGCCGCGGUGAAUACGUUCUCGGGGUUUGUACACACCGCCCGUCAAACCAUGAGAGUUGAUAAUACCCGAAGCCGGUGGCCUAACCGUAAGGAAGGAGCCGU